UACGUAGGGUGCGAGCGUUGUCCGGAAUUACUGGGCGUAAAGAGCUCGUAGGCGGUUCGUCACGUCGGCUGUGAAAUCCCGAGGCUCAACCUCGGGUCUGCAGUCGAUACGGGCGGACUUGAGUACUGCAGGGGAGACUGGAAUUCCUGGUGUAGCGGUGAAAUGCGCAGAUAUCAGGAGGAACACCGGUGGCGAAGGCGGAUCUCUGGGCCAUUACUGACGCUGAGGAGCGAAAGCGUGGGGAGCGAACAGG
rnacentral:rRNA from 1 species